rnacentral:rRNA from 1 species
GUGUACUUCAUCAAGUUCAGGCCAGCAUCAGUUUGAGUGGUUAGAUAAAAGCUUGAGGAAUGUGGCAUCUUCGGGUGUGUUAUAGCCUCUUGUUGUAUACAUUGGUUGGGACUGAGGAACUCAGCACGCCGCAAGGCCGGGUUUUUAACCACGUUCGUGCUUAGGAUGCUGGCAUAAUGGCUUUAAUCGA